rnacentral:misc_RNA from 1 species
GAUGAAGAACGUAGCGAAAUGCGAUACGUAGUGUGAAUUGCAGAAUUCAGUGAAUCAUCGAAUCUUUGAACGCACAUUGCGCCCUUUGGUACUCCAAAGGGCAUGCCUGUUCGAGCGUCAUUUGUACCCUCAAGCUUUGCUUGGUGUUGGGCGUCUUGUCUCCAGUCCGCUGGAGACUCGCCUUAAAGUCAUUGGCAGCCGGCCUACUGGUUUCGGAGCGCAGCACAAGUCGCACUCUCUUCCAGCCAAGGUCAGUGUCCAACAAGCCUUUUUUCAACUUUUGACCUCGGAUCAGGUAGGGAUACCCGCUGAACUUAAGCAUAUCAAUAAGCGGAGGA